rnacentral:rRNA from 1 species
GACGAACGCUGGCGGCGUACUUAACACAUGCAAGUCGAACGGAAAGGCCCUGCUUUUGUGGGGUGCUCGAGUGGCGAACGGGUGAGUAACACGUGAGUAACCUGCCCUUGACUUUGGGAUAACUUCAGGAAACUGGGGCUAAUACCGGAUAGGAGCUCCUGCUGCAUGGUGGGGGUUGGAAAGUUUCGGCGGUUGGGGAUGGACUCGCGGCUUAUCAGCUUGUUGGUGGGGUAGUGGCUUACCAAGGCUUUGACGGGUAGCCGGCCUGGGAGGGUGACCGGCCACAUUGGGACUGAGGUACGGACCAGAGUCCUACGGGAGGCAGCAGUGGGGAAUAUUGCACAAUGGGCGGAAGCCUGAUGCAGCAACGCCGCGUGCGGAAUGACGGCCUUCGGGGUGUAAACAGCUUUCGGCUGUGACGAAGCGUGAGUGACGGUAAUGGGUAAAGAAGCACCGGCUAACUACGUG